AAAUAUGUAUAUAUAUAUUGGUGGAAAAUUGGUUGAAAAGAAAAUAAAUAAAAUAUCUAGAUAUUUAUAAGUUUUCUUAGUCAUUAAGCUAGAAUGGUAGAAUGGUCUUUUUAACCCAAAUCUUAGCCUAUAAAUUGAGAAGCAUUGUCUCAAUUUCCACUCUCACAUUUCACCAGCCCAAGGAGAGAGUGAGAGAGGGAAAGUGUGAUUAGGGUAAAAAAAAAAAAGAAAAAAAAAGAAAAAAAAAAGGAAGAAAAGGUGACUCAAGAAGGUGAGGAAGCAGUUUACAAGGAAGAAGUUUACGAUGGUGAAGGUUAUCUCGAAGGCAACCAAGAUAAAGUGUUGGAGCCGUGGUUCACUUGAAGACUUAGACUAGUAGUUUUUUUUCUUUGACUUUUGGUGUGACAGUAUUUUGUAAUCCUAGUGCAGAACACAAAUGAAUUAACUAUGGUAUUAACUCUGCUUAUAUGUGUAUAUUAAGAUGUUUUGGUUAUCUAUCAUGUUUUAGUUGUACUUUUUUUUUUUUCACGGUCAUGAAUUUUGGGGCGUGACAAUUAGUUACCUAUUAACAGCAAUUUACCAAUUUUUACAAAAUGCAACACUCCUAGAAAAAUAAACAUACAUGCAAAAGAUAAUAUAAUUUUUAACAUAAUAUAGAAUUAAUAGCUUUUAGUACUCAACAUAGAACAAAUACAAUUUGUACACUUGGUACAUUUUGAAUAAAUGGUCAAGGCUAGUGUUACCAAAAAAUGCUAAGACCCCAGCGUUUAUGUUUUGGAAUGCAAGUUCUGAAACAUAUAGUACACUUUCAUUCCAAAAUGGUGAUUUUAGUGAUCCCAAUUUUUUACUAAUUUGUUUCAUUCAAUUUUUCUUUAGGAGGAAAACAAAAGACAAUAUAAAUGAACUAAAUAAUAGAGUAGAGUUUUGAUGGGACAAAAUGUAAAAAAUGGGCCAUAAUGCUCCCAAAAAAUGUGUUAUUACAUAAUCAAUUAAAAGAAUAAUAGACUAUUUUAUUCAAUAACUAUCCAUUUGUAAAAUAGAAAUAGCUCUCACAUUUAGAAGUAAUUUAAAUUGUAAUAGUGUGACUAUACAAGUCUGCCCUCAUCAUACCACAUAUUAGAGUAUAUGUUGUUAUUUUUAUUGGAAUGAUCUGCAUUCCAAGUGACAUAAGUUAAGAUAUUCAAAGAUAUCAAUCAUUUUUUAUUUUUCAAACGUUUACUUGAAUUUUAAUAUUUUUAUACUUUAACUACUUCUUUUUGUGUUUGAAAAAAAAAAAUCACAACCGACUAAAUAUUAAUUCUCUUGGCUGGUGCAGCCCGAUAUAGCCAAGUGUAACCCAAUCACUACAAUUCGGUAUAGCCUAAAAACAUAAGCACGAUAAAAAUCAAGCCCUUUACCAUUUUCUUGCCGGUAUGGUACAACAUUGACAUCUAUGCAUCCAACUGCCUUGUCAAGAAUUUAAGAAAUAUAUUUGGUUUGUCUUUUGAGAAAAAAUUUCAAAAAUUUGUUUGGUUGAAAAUUUUU